UUAAUGUUUUUAUAUAUUUUUAGUCACAAUAUAGAUUUUGUUUAAAUACUUUCAAAAUUUUAUUAAUUUCGUAUAUUACUUUGUUUGACGGCAAACGCAUUAUUAAUAAAAUACCAACUUUUUACUUGUUUGACUGCUUUAAAUACCGAUAAGUAAGUAUAUUAUAACUUCAGUGGUACCUAUUUCUAAGACAUGGCCACGUUGUGCUGACGCGGCAGUAUAAUGAAAUCUUCGGGAUAUUCAGCUCUACGCGAACUUACAAGAGAUACAUAUACUUAACAUGUUUGAACUCAUAAGAAUGGUCUCCAUGGGAAGGUAUUAGUAAAAGGUGUCAAUCGAGGUGUGGAAAUAGUAAUAUAAAAAUAAUGGCAUAAAAUUGAUAAUAAAUAUUUAAGUAAGUAA